rnacentral:rRNA from 1 species
GAAUUUUGGACAAUGGGCGAAAGCCUGAUCCAGCAAUGCCGCGUGCAGGAUGAAGGCCCUCGGGUUGUAAACUGCUUUUGUACGGAACGAAAAGCUUUGGGUUAAUACCCUGGAGUCAGGACGGUACCGUAAGAAUAAGCACCCGCCAACCCCGUGCCAGCAGCCGCGGUACUACGUAGGGUGCAAGCGUUAAGCGGACUUACUGGGAGUAAAGCGUGCGCAGGCUGUUUUGUAAGACAGAGGUGAAAUCCCCGGGCUCAACCUGGGAACUGCCUUUGUGACUGCAAGGCUAGAGUACGGCAGAGGGGGGUGGAAUUCCGCGUGUAGCAGUGAAAUGCGUAGAUAUGCGGAGGAACACCGAUGGCGAAGGCAACCCCCUGGGCCUGUACUGACGCUCAUGCACGAAAGCGUGGGGAGCAAACA